rnacentral:ncRNA from 1 species
GCCUCGGGAAGAGUUAUCUUUUCUAUUUAACAGCCCGCCUACCUUGGAAACGACUCAGUCGGAGGUAGGGUCUAGCGGCUGGAAGAGCACCGCACGUCGCAUGGUGUCUGGUGGGC